UGAAGUUCGGAGAAAGGAGCUAAAACAUGACUCGCAAGGUCUGCUCUAUAUUGUACCAUACAGUUCGUAUUCUGGUAGUCUUGCUUCUUCCAAAAUUUCUAAAAUUUGAAAUUACCCUCGAAGUAGUAGAGAAUGGAGAAAACUGGAGUGUGGGCCAGUGUAAGCUUAUGUCUCGGUAGGGUGAUUCUUAGGUGGACCAAGAUACUGGUCUCAUCUGAAGUGGUUUGGAGUGGACGGGGAGUACAAUGUCAUGGUCAUUGAUCUUCUUGGUCCAAGUCUGAAGGACUUGUUCGACUAUUGCAACAGAAAAUUUACCCUUAAAACAGUACUUCUGCUUGUUGAUCACAUGAUCGCCAGGGUAGAGUACAUGCACUUGAGGGGCUUUUUCUUCAUCGUGAUAUAAAGCCAGACAACUUCCUUAUAGGUUUAGGCCGUACAAGAAGCAGGCCUAGAUGUGGAGUGUGGAGCAACCAAGGCCGACCAAGUUGUUGGAGGACAAUUUUUCUCUGUUCUCAAAGCUUGUGGUGGAAUACAUGAUGAGGUUGAUGCACCGUUGAGCCAGUGUCACAAAUGUUAUCAAAUGAAAAAUUCUCCUUAACCAAAUUGUUGUAUGCAAAUAUUAGGAAGGUACUACACCUCUUUGAUUCGUCGGAUCUGGUGAAGAAGCUGUCAUGUAAUGUUACAUUUGUAUAGCUAGGCGCACUACUGGGCAUCGAAGGUCGUGCCGGCUCUUGACUUAUUUCCUCAGGCGGCGUCCUUCUGCCAAUGGGGCCUUUGAGAGCGAGGAGCUUAAGAUUUAGAGGAGAAUAGAAGGCUGAGGCCGGGGAAGCCAGCAUAUCAUGAACUAACUGGAGGAGCUGAGCUGGAUUUGCAGGGUGUGCUCCACUGACCAGCUUCUCUCGUCUACCCGGAUGAUGAUAGUAUGUAAAGGAAUGAAUAAAUACUUCUC